rnacentral:rRNA from 1 species
CCUACGGGAGGCUGCAGUGAGGAAUAUUGGUCAAUGGACGAGAGUCUGAACCAGCCAAGUAGCGUGAAGGAUGACUGCCCUAUGGGUUGUAAACUUCUUUUAUAUGGGAAUAAAAUGUUCCACGUGUGGGAUUUUGUAUGUACCAUAUGAAUAAGGAUCGGCUAACUCCGUGCCAGCAGCCGCGGUAAUACGGAGGAUCCGAGCGUUAUCCGGAUAUAUUGGGUUUAAAGGGAGCGUAGGUGGAUUGUUAAGUAAGUUGUGAAAGUUUGCGGCAAAACCGUAAAAUUGCAGUUGAAAGUGGCAGUCUUGAGUACAGUAGAGGUGGGGGGAAUUCGGGGUGUAGCUGUGAAAUGCUUAGAU